rnacentral:misc_RNA from 1 species
AACGCACAUUGCGCCCCUUGGUAUUCCGAGGGGCAUGCCUGUUCGAGCGUCAUUACAACCCUCAAGCAUUGCUUGGUAUUGGGCUCCGCUGCUUACCCAGCGGGCCUUAAAAUCAGUGGCGGUGCCGUCGAGGCCCUGAGCGUAGUAAAUAUCCUCGCUAUAGGGACUCGGUGGACGCUGGCUAUCAACCCCCAACUUUCUAAGUUUGACCUCGGAUCAGGUAGGGAUACCCGCUGAACUUAA